GCUUGUUGGCCAUGUCUAUGUCUUCCUCUGUGAGGUUUCUCUUCAUGUCUUUUGCCCAUUUCAUGAUGGGAUUGUUUAUUUCUUUGCUGUUGAGUUUAAUAAGUUCUUUAUAGAUCUUGGAAACUAGCCCUUUAUCUGAUAUGUCAUUUGCAAAUAUCUUCUCCCAUCCUGUAGGUUGUCUUUGAGUUUUGCUGACUGUAUCCUUUGCUGUGCAAAAGCUUCUUAUCUUGAUGAAGUCCCAAUAGUUCAUUUUUGCUUUUGCCCCGCACAGGCUCCACUCCGCCCGCUUAAUUAAGCAGAACCACCCCAUGAGACUCACAGCAGGGGAAACUGAGGCCCAGAGGUGCACAGGCCCGCUGGUGGCUGUGCGGCUGGUCGCAGGAGUGCGGGGACUCGGAGGCCGCUACUGGCCCCUCAUUUCGGGGGAGGACAGAGGAGACCAGGAGACCAGGCAGGGGCUGCUCAGGGCGACCCCUGGGGUGUGCAGCUCUCCCACAUCCCCAGCUGGGCCCUCGGCACCUGCCAGUCUCUGACCAGUCCUCUCCGUCCCGCGGGCAGGGAGCCUCCUGUGGUCCAGAGCCCGGGACUUCUCACAUCACCUCCAACGCCUUCACACUCCGCGCCUGGCUUCUAAUCACUCAGCCUGGUGUCUCCCAAACCCCAGACAGGCCUACAGGCCUCUGGGCCACUGCAGGUCCCGGUGUGGACCCCGCGCCCUUGACCGAGUCACCAGAAGAUGCAGAAAUGUGCUGUGCGCGGAGCUCUCACUGAUUCCCACAUCCUCCCCACCCUUGGUUUCCUUUCCCUUCUGCCUAACAAAUGUGACAACAGUCCCUCAGAAGUCGGAGGCAGACCCCCAGUGGCAGCAGGUAUGUCACCUCCCUUCCUGUCACGUGUGUCUCCCCUCCUCCUGCGUGAGGCCUGGCGCCACUAUGACCAUGACAGCACCUUGGAGACACCGGCCGCCGCGCUAUGCCUUGGCCACGCAUCGCUCACCGUCCUACACAGCCCCGCAGGCGUCUGGUCAUCCUGGUCUGCAUCCCUCAGAAUCUCCAGCCGAACAGCCUGGAACCCCUCGAACCAAGCCCACAGUCGGUCUUUCCUUCUUUCAUUGCUGAACUUGACCUUGACAGUCUGCUGGCCAGGCCUCGCUGAUGGCUGCACAGUGGGUGCCCAUACGUGACACCGCUCUGCACCGGUGGUGCCCGUCCGCCCUGGAGCACCCCACACGUGCCCAGUGGGUGUUCAUCCACAGCCAGACGCCUCUUCACGUGGGGGCAGCCCCUGACCCACGUGCUCCAAGGGAGAAAUCACCAUUAGGGCUGGCCGUGUGCCUCAAAACAACCCUGUCUUUCUCAUUUUAAAUUGGAAGAUGCUAUAAAUUGUUUAUUCUCUGGGUCAUGGUAGCCCCUUUGACAGAUGGCAAAGAUACCAGCGUGAAGCCUGUGGGAAGUGACACGGGCACAGCAGGUGUCACAGAGCCUGGUCGGGGUGCAGGCUCCCGGCUCCCCACCCCCUGUCCAGCAUGUGUGGGGCCCUGGUGAUGGGUGUGACGGGUGCCCAGGCUUUACCAUCAGCCGCCUGCCCAGCACUCCACCUUGGAGGUGCCUGUUACACACGGAACUAAAGGAAAAAUCGUUCCACACCUACCACCCCUCCCCAAGCCAUGAGGUACAGGCUUACUGCGAGUCCAUGAAAGAUGCUCCCCCAGGUCCUGUGUCUCUCCAGCACUGCCCCUCAGUCUCUCACUGAGGAGCUACUUCCCAUUCCAAUUCCCCCGACGUGCUCGUGGCUUCAGAAAUGGGAAGCAUCCGAAGGAGAUCUCCCUUAUUCACACUUGCUAGGAGGUGCCUCAUGGCCCCAUUUGGACUGGUUUAUCUAUAUGGGGUGUGGGGGGGUGGCCCCGCUUGCCCAGGAAAGCAUCCACAGGCCUGUGCCGAGGACUCCCCGACGAUCCAGGGGGAUGCCGCCUGCCGGCUCACUGGCCACUGAAAGCCCUGGGCCCCAGACGCCCCGCUGCUGAAGCUUUUCCAGGGCGGGUCUCAAGAGCCGCAUAACCCCGAACAAUGACCAUGGUGCAGGAAUUCUUUGGGGCCUGGCAGGUCAGCCAGCACUCCUCACCACUCUGAGGGCCUCCAGCCCACAUGUGAGGUGCUGCGCACAGAGCCAGUGCCCGCCAAAGCAGCUCUGUGGCCACCGGCCCGGCCACAGGAGGCCCAUGAUUCGAUCUGCGUUAUGUUCAUUUGUAUUUGCUCCCCAACUUAAAUGCCCAACAUCAUCUAAUCUUUCACUAAGCCAGCAACCUUUCCUGAUUUUGGAGGAACAAAGAAAUAGAAUUUUUUCUUGAUCCAGGUUUAGCCUCUGGGCCAGGCUCCGGAGCCAGGGCACAGCCACACCCAGCCUGCACCAGCAGCUCCUCCUGCCCUAGCCCAUGAGUCAACUGGGCUGCACUGGUCAUUCCCAGAGGGAAGCUAGACCUUGUUUCAGUGACCAUGACUGCGAGCGGGACAACAGAACUCUAGGUCACUGUGAGACCAUCUAGCCUGCGCUCUUUCCCCCCCAGCCCCCACCCC
rnacentral:lncRNA from 1 species